AGGGCAGAAAGCAUCAACUGUUCCAGGAAAUAACCUGUCCUUGCACAUUUCCUCAUGUUCAGGCUUCGCUGUUGUGAAUGCAAGCACUGUGAUGAGAGAAGAAGGCAAGGUGUGGGGCAGAAACUUAGCCCUGCUCCUAAAAAAGGGGACAUCUCCUCAUCUCCAUGUUGUUGCACAGGGAGCUGAAAUCUGGCCAGUGCAAGCCACUGGUUGUACCUGUGGAAUUACCUGACUCUUCAUCCCAAGGGCUCAAAAAUCAGAGGAAAAGAAAACCAUCCUCCAUUUUGCUGAGCGCCAGCAGUGUGAACAAAAAUAUAAGGUGCUUCAGGGCAGGAAGAAACCG